GGUCGAUCUGCUCAAUGAAAUAUUUUAAUAGCUGCAGUAUAUUGACUGUACAAAGGUAGCAUAAUAAAUUGUCUUUUAAUUGAAGAAUUGAAUGAACGAAUUGAUGAAAUAAUGACUGUCUCUAAAUUAUUUAAUGAAUUUAAAUUUUUAGUUAAAAUUCUAAAAUUUAAUUAUGGGACGAUAAGACCCUAUAGAAUUUUAUUUAAUAUUUUAUUUAUUAAAUAAUUUUUUUGUUUGUAAAUAAUAUAUUAAAUUUAAUUGGGAGGAUUGAUAAAUUAAAAAAACUUUAUUUAAUAUUUAAUUUUGAUUAAAAGAUAAAUAAUGAAUUAUAAUUUAUAAUUAAUAGAAUAAAUUACCUUAGGGAUAACAGCGUAAUAUCUUUUGAUAGACCUUAUAGAUAAAGAUGAUUGCGACCUCGAUGUUGAAUUAAGAUUAAAAUUAAGCGCAGAAGUUUAAAUUUUGAGUCUG
rnacentral:rRNA from 1 species